rnacentral:rRNA from 1 species
AGGGAAUAUUGGGCAAUGGACGCAAGUCUGACCCAGCCAUGCCGCGUGCAGGAUGAAAGCCCUAUGGGUUGUAAACUGCUUUUGUACGGGAAGAAACUCCCCGACGUGUCGGGGACUGACGGUACUGUAAGAAUAAGCAUCGGCUAACUCCGUGCCAGCAGCCGCGGUAAUACGGAGGAUGCAAGCGUUAUCCGGAUUUAUUGGGUUUAAAGGGUGCGCAGGCGGACUGGUAAGUCAGUGGUGAAAUCCUACGGCCUAACUGUAGAACUGCCAUUGAUACUGCCAGCCUUGAGUUCAGUUGGAGUGGCUGGAAUGUGUCAUGUAGCGGUGAAAUGCUUAGAUAUGACACAGAACACCGAUCGCGAAGGCAGGUCACUAAACUGAUACUGACGCUCAUGCACGAAAGCGUGGGGAUCAAAC